AAGUCCAACGUCUUGUCGUCAGUAGCUCAUCUCAUAGCAACCCUGAUUAUAACGUUAUGUUAAAGGUGCAUAAUCCAAAUGGGAAAUCAGGCAUUUUAUACGUGCAAGGCGGAGUUGCUUCCCUCUUCUUUGAAGAGCAAAUAAUGGCUGCCGGAAAGUUUCCAAUUUUCAAUCAAGAUGAAAAUAAUUCAACAGAAAUUGGAAUAGCCCUCAAGGGCUCAAAGAUCAUGUUGCCCAACAAUAUCAAGAAGAGCAUGAAAAGUACAAAACCAAAAGUGAAUGUGUCAUUUUCCCUAAAGAUGAACGUCCCGGCGAGAAUGAAAACUAAUAGCUUCAAAAUUGGGGAUACCAAACUCGUCAUUAUAUGCGAAUUCAAGGUAGACACAUUGGCAAAAGGAACGCAAAUACUUUCUCAGCAAUGUGAAACCAUUCGCUAGUAUUUGUUUUGCAAUUACAUUUGGCUGCGAUAGAUCUUUAGUUUUUCUAUGUUUUAGAUUCUAGUGAUGUGAGGAAACCAUUGGUGAUUGAAUGGUGUUGGAAGUUAGUGUCAGAAUUUAGAAUUGUAUCCUGGGUUAGUAACCCUGACAUGGAGAGACAUUUCUUUUGACUUGUCUUGCUCGCCCUGAUUUUGUCAUCAAGGCAUUGUAGGAUUUUCCCCCCUUUUCUUGUAUCUACCAGUUAAUUAGUG
rnacentral:misc_RNA from 1 species